GACGAACGCUGGCGGCGUGCUUAACACAUGCAAGUCGAACGGAAAGGCCCUGCUUUUGUGGGGUGCUCGAGUGGCGAACGGGUGAGUAACACGUGAGUAACCUGCCCUUGACUUUGGGAUAACUUCAGGAAACUGGGGCUAAUACCGGAUAUGAGCUCCUGCUGCAUGGUGGGGGUUGGAAAGUUUCGGCGGUUGGGGAUGGACUCGCGGCUUAUCAGCUUGUUGGUGGGGUAGUGGCUUACCAAGGCUUUGCCGGGUAGCCGGCCUGAGAGGGUGACCGGCCACAUUGGGACUGAGAUACGGCCCAGACUCCUACGGGAGGCAGCAGUGGGGAAUAUUGCACAAUGGGCGGAAGCCUGAUGCAGCAACGCCGCGUGCGGGAUGACGGCCUUCGGGUUGUAAACCGCUUUCGCCUGUGACGAAGCGUGAGUGACGGUAAUGGGUAAAGAAGCACCGGCUAACUACGUG
rnacentral:rRNA from 1 species